UACGGGGGGAGCAAGCGUUAAUCGGAAUUACUGGGCGUAAAGCGCACGUAGGCGGCUUGGUAUGUCGGGUGUGAAAUCCCCGGGCUCAACCUGGGAACUGCAUCCGAAACUGCCUUGCUCGAGUAUGGGAGAGGGAAGUGGAAUUUCCGGUGUAGCGGUGAAAUGCGUAGAUAUCGGAAGGAACAUCAGUGGCGAAGGCGACUUCCUGGACCAAUACUGACGCUCAGGUGCGAAAGCGUGGGGAGCAAACAGG
rnacentral:rRNA from 1 species